CUGUCACUAUUUUAACAUUCUCCAUCAGCUGUGGCCAUGUUGGAUUUCUGGCACCUGAGCAUUCACAUCCAUCUGUUUAUAGGGCAUUAUGCCCACUCAUGAGGUUUAUUCCAGUUUCAAAAAGUCAUGUGUAAACCAAGAUUGGAAAUAUAUAUUCCUUGAGAAAUAGAGACACAGACACACAAGGGAGAAUGCCAUAUGAAAAUGGAGGCAGAAUGGAGUGAUGCAUCUACAAGCCAAGGAACACCAAAAAUUGCCAGCAACUACUAGAAGCUAGAAGAGGCAAGAAAGGACUUUCUAGAGCCUUUGGAAAGCAUGAUUCUGCCACAUCUUGAUUUUGGACUUCCAGCCUCUAGAACUGUGAGAGAGUAAGUUUCCAUUGUUUUAAACCACCCAAUUUGUAUUAAUUUGUUAUAGAAGCCCUGGGAAACAAAUAAACUACUUUAGAUCAGUUAGGAAGGCUUCUUGAACUAUAUGACUUUUAAACAGAGACAUAAAUGAUGAGACUGUCCCAGCCAAGUUAAAAAUAUCACUGGGAAUCAAACUCACUGGUGUUAUUCCAGCUCAGUGGUAAAUGUUCUACUGGUAUUUUAAAUAAUUCUAAAAUAAAGUCAUUAUUUUUCUUUGCA
rnacentral:lncRNA from 1 species